GUAAACGGCGGCCGUAACUAUAACGGUCCUAAGGUAGCGAAAUUCCUUGUCGGGUAAGUUCCGACCUGCACGAAUGGCGUAACGAUGGCGGCGCUGUCUCCACCCGAGACUCAGUGAAAUUGAAAUCGCUGUGAAGAUGCAGUGUAUCCGCGGCUAGACGGAAAGACCCCGUGAACCUUUACUAUAGCUUUGCACUGGACUUUGAAUUUGCUUGUGUAGGAUAGGUGGGAGGCUUUGAAGCGUGGACGCCAGUUCGCGUGGAGCCAACCUUGAAAUACCACCCUGGCAACUUUGAGGUUCUAACUCAGGUCCGUUAUCCGGAUCGAGGACAGUGUAUGGUGGGUAGUUUGACUGGGGCGGUCUCCUCCUAAAGAGUAACGGAGGAGUACGAAGGUGCGCUCAGACCGGUCGGAAAUCGGUCGUAGAGUAUAAAGGCAAAAGCGCGCUUGACUGCGAGACAGACACGUCGAGCAGGUACGAAAGUAGGUCUUAGUGAUCCGGUGGUUCUGUAUGGAAGGGCCAUCGCUCAACGGAUAAAAGGUACUCCGGGGAUAACAGGCUGAUACCGCCCAAGAGUUCAUAUCGACGGCGGUGUUUGGCACCUCGAUGUCGGCUCAUCACAUCCUGGGGCUGUAGCCGGUCCCAAGGGUAUGGCUGUUCGCCAUUUAAAGUGGUACGCGAGCUGGGUUUAGAACGUCGUGAGACAGUUCGGUCCCUAUCUGCCGUGGACGUUUGAGAUUUGAGAGGGGCUGCUCCUAGUACGAGAGGACCGGAGUGGACGAACCUCUGGUGUUCCGGUUGUCACGCCAGUGGCAUUGCCGGGUAGCUAUGUUCGGAAUAGAUAACCGCUGAAAGCAUCUAAGCGGGAAACUAGCCUCAAGAUGAGAUCUCACUGGGACCUUGAGUCCCCUGAAGGGCCGUCGAAGACUACGACGUUGAUAGGUUGGGUGUGUAAGCGCUGUGAGGCGUUGAGCUAACCAAUACUAAUUGCCCGUGAGGCUUGACCAU
rnacentral:rRNA from 1 species